rnacentral:rRNA from 1 species
GACGAACGCUGGCGGCGUGCUUAACACAUGCAAGUCGAACGGAAAGGCCCUGCUUUUGUGGGGUGCUCGAGUGGCGAACGGGUGAGUAACACGUGAGUAACCUGCCCUUGACUUUGGGAUAACUUCAGGAAACUGGGGCUAAUACCGGAUAGGAGCUCCUGCUGCAUGGUGGGGGUUGGAAAGUUUCGGCGGUUGGGGUUGGACUCGCGGCUUAUCAGCUUGUUGGUGGGGUAGUGGCUUACCAAGGCUUUGACGGGUAGCCGGCCUGAGAGGGUGACCGGCGACAUUGGGACUGAGAUACGGAGCAGAGUCCUACGGUAGGCAGUAGUGGGGAAUAUUGCACAGUGGGCGGAAGCCUGAUGCAGCGACGCCGCGGUCGUGAUGACGGCCUGCGGGGUGUAAAACGCUUUCGCCUGAGACGAAGCGUGAGUGACGGUAAUGGGUAAAGAAGCACCGGCUAACUACGUG